AAGACUGUGCUUCACAGGAUCAUUUCUGUAGGCAAGUUUUCACUACAAGUUUUUUCCGAAAGUUAAAGAUUUCCCACCCACGAUGAUGAGACGUAGU